AUGGAAGAUUCAGUGGACAUGGACACGAGCCCCCUGAGGCCCCAGAACUAUCUUUUCGGUUGUAAACUAAAGGCCGACAAAGAUUAUCACUUUAAGGUGCAUAAUGAUGAAAAUGAGCACCAAUUAUCUUUAAGAACGGUCAGUUUAGGGGCGUGGUGCAAAGGAUGAAUUGCACAUUGUUGAAGCAGAGGCAAUGAAUUAUGAAGGCAGUCCAAUUAAAGGAACACUGGCAACUUUGAAAAUGUCUGUACAGCCAAUGUUUCCCUUGGGGCUUUGAAAUAACACCACCGGUGGUCUUAUGGUUGAAGUGUGGUUCAGGGCCUGUGCAUAUUAGUGGGCAGCCUUAGUAGCUGUGGAAGAAGAUGCAGAGUCAGAAGAUGACUAUGAGAGGAUGGUGAAAAUCUUAAGUAUAUCUGGAAAGCUCCUGGAGGGUGGUAGCAAGGUUCCAUAGAAAAAAGUAAAACUUGCUGAUGAAGAUGAUGAUGAUGAUGAGUUCGAUGAUGAGGAUACUGAAGAAAAAGCUCCAGUGAAGAAAUCUGGUCAAGAAUCCUUCAAAAAACACGAAGAAACUCCUAAAACACCAAAUGAGCCUAGUUCUGUAGAAGACAUUAAGGCAAAAUGCAAGCAAGUAUAGAAAAGGGUGGUUCUCUUCCCAAAGUGGAAGCGAAAUUCAUCAAUUAUGUGAAGAACUGCUUUCGGAUGACUGACCAGGAGGCUAUGCACGAUCUCUGGCAGUGGAGGAAGUCUCUUUAAGAAAACAGUUUAAACAAUUUGUUAAAAUUUUCCGUCUUAUUUCAUUUCUGUAACAGUUGAUAUCUGGCUGUCCUUUUUAUAAUGCAGAGUGAGAACUUCCCUACCAUGUUUGAUAAAUGUUGUCCAGGUUCCAUUGCCAAGAAUGUGUUGUCCAAAAUGCCUGUUAUUUUUUAAAGAUGGAACUCCACCCUUUGCUUGGUUUUAAGUAUGUAUGGAAUGUUAUGAUAGGACAUAGCAGUAGCAGUGGUCAGACAUGGAAAUGGU